rnacentral:rRNA from 1 species
AUUGAACUCUGGCGGCCGACCUAACACAUGCAAGUCGAACGAGUGGCGGACGGGUGAGUAAUGUCUGGGAAACUGCCUGAUGGAGGGGGAUAACUACUGGAAAAGGUAGCUAAUACAUCAUACCAUCGGAUGUGCCCAGAUGGGAUUGGCUAGUAGGUGGGGGAACGGCUCACCAAGGCGACGAUCCCUAGAUGGUCUGAGAGGAUGACCAGCCACACUGGAACUGAGACACGGUCCAGACUCCUACGGGAGGCAGCAGGGGGGAAUAUUGCACAAUGGGCGCAAGCCUGAUGCAGCCAUGCCGCGGGGAUGAAGAAGGCCUUCGGGUUGUAAAGUACUUUAAGCGGGGAGGCGUUACCCGCAGAAGAAGCACCGGCUAACUCCGUGCCAGCAGCCGCGGUAAUAC